rnacentral:rRNA from 1 species
AUGAACGCUAGCUACAGGCUUAACACAUGCAAGUCGAGGGGCAGCAUGACCUAGCAAUAGGUUGAUGGCGACCGGCGCACGGGUGAGUAACACGUAUCCAACCUACCGGUUAUUCCGGGAUAGCCUUUCGAAAGAAAGAUUAAUACCGGAUAGUAUAACGAGAAGGCAUCUUUUUGUUAUUAAAGAAUUUCGAUAACCGAUGGGGAUGCGUUCCAUUAGUUUGUUGGCGGGGUAACGGCCCACCAAGACAUCGAUGGAUAGGGGUUCUGAGAGGAAGGUCCCCCACAUUGGAACUGAGACACGGUCCAAACUCCUACGGGAGGCAGCAGUGAGGAAUAUUGGUCAAUGGACGAGAGUCUGAACCAGCCAAGUAGCGUGAAGGAUGACUGCCCUAUGGGUUGUAAACUUCUUUUAUAUGGGAAUAAAGUGAGCCACGUGUGGCUUUUUGUAUGUACCAUACGAAUAAGGAUCGGCUAACUCCGUGCCAGCAGCCGCGGUAAUACGGAGGAUCCGAGCGUUAUCCGGAUUUAUUGGGUUUAAAGGGAGCGUAGGCGGACUAUUAAGUCAGCUGUGAAAGUUUGCGGCUCAACCGUAAAAUUGCAGUUGAUACUGGUCGUCUUGAGUGCAGUAGAGGUAGGCGGAAUUCGUGGUGUAGCGGUGAAAUGCUUAGAUAUCACGAAGAACUCCGAUUGCGAAGGCAGCUUACUGGACUGUAACUGACGCUGAUGCUCGAAAGUGUGGGUAUCAAACAGGAUUAGAUACCCUGGUAGUCCACGCCGUAAACGAUGAGUACUAAGUGUUGGGUGUCAAAGCUCAGUGCUGCAGUUAACGCAAUAAGUACUCCGCCUGAGUAGUACGUUCGCAAGAAUGAAACUCAAAGGAAUUGACGGGGGCCCGCACAAGCGGUGGAGCAUGUGGUUUAAUUCGAAGCAACGCGAAGAACCUUACCAGGUCUUGACAUCGAUCUAAAGGCUCCAGAGAUGGAGAGAUAGCUAUAGAGAAGACAGGUGGUGCAUGGUUGUCGUCAGCUCGUGCCGUGAGGUGUCGGCUUAAGUGCCAUAACGAGCGCAACCCUUAUCUUUAGUUACUAACAGGUCAUGCUGAGGACUCUAGAGAGACUGCCGUCGUAAGAUGUGAGGAAGGUGGGGAUGACGUCAAAUCAGCACGGCCCUUACGUCCGGGGCUACACACGUGUUACAAUGGGGGGUACAGAAGGCAGCUACACAGCGAUGUGAUGCUAAUCCCAAAAGCCUCUCUCAGUUCGGAUUGGAGUCUGCAACCCGACUCCAUGAAGCUGGAUUCGCUAGUAAUCGCGCAUCAGCCACGGCGCGGUGAAUACGUUCCCGGGCCUUGUACACACCGCCCGUCAAGCCAUGAAAGCCGGGGGUACCUGAAGUCCGUAACCGCAAGGAGCGGCCUAGGGUAAAACUGGUAAUUGGGGCU